rnacentral:rRNA from 1 species
UACGUAGGGGGCUAGCGUUGUCCGGAAUCAUUGGGCGUAAAGCGCGCGUAGGCGGCCCUGUUAGUCCGCUGUAAAAGUCAAAGGCUCAACCUUUGAAUGCCGGUGGAUACUGCAGGGCUAGAGUCCGGAAGAGGCGAGUGGAAUCCUGGUGUAGCGGUGGAAUGCGCAGAUAUCAGGAGGAACACCGAUGGCGAAGGCAGCUCAC